GGUUUUACCCGAAGCCGCUGACUUAACCGCAAGGAGAGAAGCGUCGAAGGUGAGGCUGAUGACUGGGAU
rnacentral:rRNA from 1 species